rnacentral:rRNA from 1 species
ACAGGUGCUGCAUGGCUGUCGUCAGCUCGUGUUGUGAAAUGUUGGGUUAAGUCCCGCAACGAGCGCAACCCUUAUCCUUUGUUGCCAGCGGUUCGGCCGGGAACUCAAAGGAGACUGCCGGUGAUAAACCGGAGGAAGGGGGGGAUGACGUCAAGUCAUCAUGGCCCUUACGACUAGGGCUACACACGUGCUACAAUGGCGCAUACAAAGAGAAGCGACCUCGCGAGAGCAAGCGGACCUCAUAAAGUGCGUCGUAGUCCGGAUUGGAGUCUGCAACUCGACUCCAUGAAGUCGGAAUCG